GACGAACGCUGGCGGCGUGCUUAACACAUGCAAGUCGAACGGAAAGGCCCCCUUGUGGGGUACUCGAGUGGCGAACGGGUGAGUAACACGUGAGUAACCUACCCUUGACUUUGGGAUAACUUCAGGAAACUGGGGCUAAUACCGGAUAGGAGCUCCUGCUGCAUGGUGGGGGUUGGAAAGUUUCGGCGGUUGGGGAUGGACUCGCGGCUUAUCAGCUUGUUGGUGGGGUAGUGGCUCACCAAGGCUUUGACGGGUAGCCGGCCUGAGAGGGUGACCGGCCACAAGGGGACUGAGAUACGGCCCAGACUCCUACGGGAGGCAGCAGUGGGGAAUAUUGCACAAUGGUCGCAAGGCUGAUGCAGCAACGCCGCGGGCGGGAUGACGGCCUUCGGGUUGUAAACCGCAUUCGCCUGUGACGAAGCGUGAGUGACGGUAAUGGGUAAAGAAGCACCGGCUAACUACGUG
rnacentral:rRNA from 1 species